rnacentral:rRNA from 1 species
GACGAACGCUGGCGGCGUGCUUAACACAUGCAAGUCGAACGGAAAGGCCCUGCUUUUGUGGGGUGCUCGAGUGGCGAACGGGUGAGUAACACGUGAGUAACCUGCCCUUGACUUUGUGAUAACUUCAGGAAACUGGGGCUAAUACCGGAUAGGAGCUCCUGCUGCAUGGUGGGGGUUGGAAAGUUUCGGCGGUUGGGGAUGGACUCGCGGCUUAUGAGCUUGUUGGUGGGGUAGUGGCUUACCAAGGCUUUGACGGGUAGCCGGCCUGAGAGGGUGAACGGCGACAUUGCGCCUGAGAUACGGCCCAGAAUCCUACGGGAGGCAGCAGGGGGGAGUAUUGCACAACGGGGGGACGCCUGAUACGGAAACGCCGCGUGCGGGAUGACGGCCUUCGGGUUGUAAACCGCUUUCGCCUGUGACGAAGAGUGAGUGACGGUAAUGGGUAAAGAAGCACCGGCUAACUACGUG